GCCGGCAAUUGUAUGAAAUAGCCGGUGAAGGUCAAUAAUUGAAACAUUCCUUUUAGUCAUAUUUCAGUUCCCUCCAAUUAUUUCAUUUUAAAUGUUCCCUCCGUUUGAUGAAAAAUAAAAUAUAUCUGCUCACAUUGCCCUAAUCAUCUAUUCCCUCUCUGUAAACCACAAAUAUGCAAAAAGAGCAUCUUCCUAUUUGGCCUCGUCUUCUCCAUUCUACGACACAAAUUCUCGAAGAGAAUCAAGUUUACCGAUGCUAUUCUCUAAUCACUUAUCAAUUUUAGAUCUAUUUUCUGCUUUGGAAUUGCUUAUUUAUGGUUCAUGAUAUCCUUUUUUUUUGGUGUGUUUAUUGUUAAUAUUCAUAUGUUUAUGUAGAUUUAACUGUGACAUAUUGCAUUUAUAUUGUUGGAAUCUCUACUAAAAUUUGAGAGAAAAAUCGGGGACUGAAAUUUGAGAGUAGUUACAAUCCACGAUUUUUUGAUUGCUUUGAGAAAUAGAGAAAGAAAAAUAAAUCUCGUAUCCAACACUUUUGCUUCUCGUUGUUUCUCUUAGAGCCAAAAAGCUUCAAAGUUUUAUAUGUCAUUUUAGUCGAGCAUUUUCGCAGCUAACCUAUUUGUGAAAAUGCCAGUAAGACUACUUAUCAAGAAAUCAGUUAGAAUCUUAUUGUGGAAGCACAUAUUGCUACUGCUUUUGGCAUGAAAUGAGUAGUUAUUUUCUUAUAGCAAUUUUGAACAUUAAGUAGAUGGGAAUUGACAUGUUAUUCUUAAAUAGUGCUUGCAUGGCAUAGGAGGUGCAUAGCCGAUAAAACUAUCAUGAAAUUCUAUUUUUUUCGUCUUAGUAUAUAUUAGUUGUGCUAUUAUUUGAAGGGCACUUCAAAUGGAUUACACUUGAUCUUAAAUAAGAUGACUUUUAUCCUGCUGUUGUUGCCUUAAUUCUGAUGUCAUUUUCUAUGUGCAAUUGAAUAGGAUGGCCCAGGAAUUGGUGGAUUGCUUGGUGCAAAUUGAUGGAUUAAAUACAAGCGUGAUAAAUUGAUCAAUUCAUUAUGUCACUGCUUGUUCCAGAUGCAACUCAAGGAAGGGUCAUAAGACACCCGAGGAAGCAAAUAUGAAGCUUAUGAAAGAACCUAAGGUAUUACUAAUUCUUAUCAUAGUAGUUUCAUAGCUCCAGAACUGUGGCAAAGCUUCUUAAUUGGAAAUAGUUUUAUAUAUGUUAUAGUUUUCCUUGUUUUUUUCCUGAUUUAUUUUACUUGUUUAUCGUUAUCCUUUUUUAUUUUUCUUCUCUGAGGUGGUUUGGGGUUGUGAAGUAUCAUGUUUAACAAAAAGGGUCAGCAGAAAUGGCAGUACUCCUGUUGAAGUAUCAUGUUUAGCAAAAAGGGUCAGCAGAAAUACCAGUACUCUUGUUUUACCAGAUAAAAGGCUGCCUAAUUGUGAUCUUGUAGGCCCCUAAAGAGUAUGACAUUCUUGUUAUACCUUUGACCAGCUCGGCUAUAAAAUGUUAAGAUCGAAAAAAGGGAUACCGGAGGAGUGGCGGCAGUAUUUAUCAAUGCCGUCAGCAGCCCCUUAGUAGCAAUGUUAGGAUGCAGCUUGUAAAUUCUCUUCCUUGUGCAGAAAUGAUAGCAGUCGGAAAUUCAAUCUGAAAUACCAAGACUCAGUUGUACCUUUAUGUACCUAUAAAUGUUUCUCUUCACCCCUACAUGGUUGUAUAUAUGAUAAAUGCUCAAAGGCUCUAGUAAACCAUUGGAGUUUCUAGUAAUUAGUAGUAUGCAUAGGUGAUCUUACUCACUGUUAUCCUUGCUUUACAAUGGCAAAAACUUCUAAAAUCGUACUGCAAAAAGAGUGUCUCUUCUUCACGGCCCGUCGGCGACGGAACCUCCCAUUGAGGAUUUUGUUCCGGGAGGUUGCCCUACUGUCGACGAUUUUAGGUUUGAAAAAACCUCCUCAGUACCUGGUCGAUGUGAACCGAUUUCGAGGUAUAGAUGCACGAUAACCGAUGAUCUCCUUGACAAAGUUAAAGAGGAGUGCCACUGGGUCGAUAAACAUGUUGUGGUACCUUCGCCUGAUAAGUCGAUCACUACCCAUGUGAAGGGUUUCCUAAGUGUUUAUCUUACCCUUUUACAUUGGGUCCUUUAGACCCUAUCAUUGUCGCCUUCUGCAAGAGGUAUGGCGUGACCCUCGGCCAGAUCCAUCCUUUUUCUGGAGGAUAGUGAUCCUCCUCCGAUUCUUCGUGAGCAAAAUCGAGGGAUGUCCUUUCACCCUCGAUCACUGUAUGCGCCUUUACAGUCCCUGACAUGGAUAUUGGCUGCUAGGUACAAAAGUAUUGUUAUCAUAUUAGAGGAAAUUAGGCAUAAGAUUAUGUCUAGACAGGUUGAUAUGAUAAAGUUUGCCAAACCAUGAAUUUCAGAUAUAUCACCUAUGGCUAGGCUAACAUUAGAAGAAAAUAAGGAUUUGGCUAGACAGUGCCAAGUUAUAUGGAAUGGGCAGGAUGGGUUUGAAAUCAAAAAAGGAGAUUUGAGAUUUAUAGUUGACACUAGGAUGAAGAUUUGUAGAUGUAGUCUUUGGAGGUUGAGAGGCAUCCCAUGUGAACAUGCUUUGUGUGUAUACUAUUACCUACAAGAUGAUCCAGAUCAAUAUAUGGAGCAUUGGUACAGAAAGGAAGUAUUUCUAAAGGCUUAUGAACACUUCAUUCAACCAAUUCCUAACCUGAAGAUGUGGCCUGAGAGUAAUAAUUCUACCUUUGAACUACCAGCCCCAAAGCCAAUAUCAGGCAGACACCAAAAAAAUAAAAGGAAGGACAUGAAUGAACCUAAAAAGAAAUGGGACAA